UGGGGAAUUUUGGACAAUGGGCGAAAGCCUGAUCCAGCAAUGCCGCGUGUGUGAAGAAGGCCUUCGGGUUGUAAAGCACUUUUGUCCGGAAAGAAAUCCUUGGCUCUAAUACAGUCGGGGGAUGACGGUACCGGAAGAAUAAGCACCGGCUAACUACGUGCCAGCAGCCGCGGUAAUACGUAGGGUGCAAGCGUUAAUCGGAAUUACUGGGCGUAAAGCGUGCGCAGGCGGUUUGCUAAGACCGAUGUGAAAUCCCCGGGCUCAACCUGGGAACUGCAUUGGUGACUGGCAGGCUAGAGUAUGGCAGAGGGAGGUAGAAUUCCACGUGUAGCAGUGAAAUGCGUAGAGAUGUGGAGGAAUACCGAUGGCGAAGGCAGCCCCCUGGCAAGUACUGACGCUCAUGCACGAAAGCGUGGGGAGCAAACNGGAUUAGAUACCCUGGUAGUCCACGCCCCCAAACGAUGUCAACUAGUUUGUUGGGGGAUUCAUUUUCCUUAGUAACGUAGCUAACGCGUGAAGUUGACCGCCUGGGGGAGUACGGUCGCAAGAUUAAAACUUAAA
rnacentral:rRNA from 1 species